AAUCAGUUAUGGUUCCUUAGAUCGUUCAUACUACAUGGAUAACUGUGGUAAUUCUAGAGCUAAUACAUGCAAAAAGCUCCGACCGUAUGGGAAGAGCGCUUUUAUUAGACCAAAACCAAUGGGGUCGCAAGACUCCUUUGUAUGGUGACUCUGGAUAACUUUGUGCUGAUCGCAUGGCCUAGAGCCGGCGACGUAUCUUUCAAGUGUCUGCCCUAUCAACUUUCGAUGGUAAGCGAUUUGCCUACCAUGGUUGUAACGGGUAACGGGGAAUCAGGGUUCGAUUCCGGAGAGGGAGCAUGAGAAAUGGCUACCACAUCUACGGAAGGCAGCAGGCGCGCAAAUUACCCACUCCUAGAACGGGGAGGUAGUGACGAAAAAUAACAAUACCGGACUCAAUGAGGCUCGGUAAUUGAAAUGAGUACAGUUUAAAACCCUUAACGAGGAUCUAUUGGAGGGCAAGUCUGGUGCCAGCAGCCGCGGUAAUUCCAGCUCCAAUAGCGUAUAUUAAAGUUGUUGCAGUUAAAAAGCUCGUAGUUGGAUCUCGGGUACUAGCAUGUGGUACGCUUAAUUGCUGUUACUACAUGUCUGGUCCUAAUCAACCGGUUGGCCGUUGAUGUCCUUUAUUGGGUGUUUUCGGUAGCCGGUACGUUUACUUUGAGAAAAUUAGAGUGCUUAAAGCAGGCCUUACGCCUGAAUAAUGUUGCAUGGAAUAAUAGAAUAGGACCUCGGUUCUAUUUUGUUGGUUUUGUAGAGCAUUGAGGUAAUGAUUAAUAGGGACAGACGGGGGCAUUCGUAUUGCGGUGUUA
rnacentral:rRNA from 1 species